UCAAAGGGAAAAUUCUGACACUGAUCGCAGCGACUAUCCAGGUUCAAGAUCUGAAAGCCUGCGAAUUUGACAAAACAUGAGACUCAUUUAGGGAAUACAAGGGACUUAUAAAUUGAGAUGGUUAUUCUUACAAUUUUUUCGGGGUGCCUCAGACAUUAAAAUGUUGAUAUCUAGGACACUGAACAGGGGGGACAAGUGAUUUUCUUCUUCUUUUCUCUUUAUUAUUUUUUCUCAUUUUGUUGUAUAGGGAGAGAUGAUUUGUCUAUGUAUUGUUAUGGACUUGGUAUUGUGAAGAACCCAUGUUACUUGGGGCCUAGGGUGUGUACAGAAUUGGGUUAGCAAUUCAGAAACUGUUUGAUGAAAUCCUCCCUGUUCUACUGCCUCUCUCUAUUUCUCCCUCUCCUUCCUGAUCCAUAUUCUACACCAUGGAACCUGACUAUCAACCUAACUACUCUGUGUUUGAUUCAUUGACCAAGACAGUUAAAAAAAAAAGCCCCUCCUGAUUUUUGAACUUGCUUGCUUUUGCAAAUUCUGCUUUUAUGCGAAGUAAUUAAUUCGAGACAAAUCAAAUACAGAAAGACAGACAGGAAAGGCUUCUUAAUCUCAAGACUGGAAACAAAAGAAAGCUAUGAUACCAUCACAGUUUAGAGUUUUUUGAAUAAAAUUGUGUUUUUUUAUUGAGGAUUAUCUAUUAUAUAGAUAUAAUUUACAAGCUAAGAAAAAAAAAUACAUUAAGAAAUAAUAAAGGCUGAUACAAUUUUUAUUGAGGAUUAUCUAUUAUAUAGAUAUAAUUUACAAGCUAAGAAAAAAAAAAUACAUUAAGAAAUAAUGAAGGCUGAUACAAGAAAUAAUACAAGCUGAUCUUCAACCCUUAGAAACAGCUAACCUGCAUAACAGUCCUUCGGAAGUCUUCAUGUAUUUUGUUGCCUGAACAUCCAUCGACUAUUCCUCUUCCAAGUUCUUAACUCUUAACCAAUCAUGUGAAUGAACUAUUCUAGGAGUGCUAGUUCUCCACUAAGUUGAAUGUGGCUCACAUUUAGUUAAUCAAACCCUAAGCUUGAAGGAACUGUCCCAAUGAGCUAAAGAGAGAAGCUAGGUUAUAAUUAGUUGGCAAGCCAAUACAUUAACAAGCCAUCCACAUAGCAUCUCAAUACCAUCACUUAAUUUUGACAAAUCUCAAACAUCUUCCGAUACCUAAAAAAUCAGACUGAUUGUUUCCAGUUAAACACUUGCACAAGGCCACUGCUACUAUAAAACUAAAGACAAGUCCGGUACUAGUGGAAAUAACACCAAAACAUAUAAAGUAAAAUGAAGGUUUCUGAUGCAGUUCAGUUGGAGCAAGCAAACAUCAUCCAUCCCCUAGGAAUUCAAGAACCUGCAAUCAUUCAGAACACAAGCAAAGAUUCAGCAGCCUCAUGGUAUACAGGGCCAAAUAGAAAUGUAACCACCAUAUUGCUCCAGUUCAGUAAACCACCUCAUUGUGUUUGCAGCAUAAAUCAUACACGUACAGGCUUCCAAGCCCUGAAGUCAGGUCAAUCGAAGCUGUCAAAACACUGCCAACACCCUCAAGGCGAUAGAGCAGGAAGCCGUUUAUGCAUUCCUUCUUGUACUUGUUGCUUUCCCUCCGUUGUCUUUUGAUGUUGUCAAACUUAGGCUUUAGUUAUCGCACCCUCUUCAGUGCCGAUGCAAAGGGGACCCAGAGUUCUAGCAAUUGAAGAAUAUUUCAUGCGUUUUUAAUUUUUCUAGUAGUGAUCGUCAUCAUCGGGAUUACUGAACAAAUAUCAUCAACAACAAAAUAUAAUUGUGAUGUGAGCGGGUCAGCUGUAUAUUUUCCACCACUAAAUUAUUUUUAUUAAGAGAAAUUUUUUUUUUAUGUCUACCCAAUCGGAUUUGUUCAUGUUAAUCGACUUUUAAUAUUUUAUUUCACUUAAUUAAAAAAUCAAUCUAAAUUAAACUCUGAAAUUCUUGAAUGUUGGUAUAAAUCGAGUUUAAUAACAAUAUUUUUAAUAUAAUAAAGAGAUCAUAAUUUCAUUAAUUUUUACCAAGAGAUUGUGAAGUUGAAUUAUGAAAAAUCCUGCUAGCUUCAUUCAUAAGACAUAAGUAGAAUAUUAGAAGGGGACAUGUAUUAUUUGAAAAGCAAAGAUUGCAUUGUCAUAAUAUUGUCUUUGCAUACCAGAAUUUAUGUAAAACCAGGAUCGAUGAUCCACGUUCAGGACUACAUUAUUUAUUGGGGGUGGAAAGGCUUCAUUUUGAGUUUUGCCUUGUUAGUAUUAUUGCGGAAGAGAACUUAUUCGCCCUGUGAAUGAUCUUGGCUUUAAUUUCCUUGCAGUUUCAUUUGAUUUUUAGAUGCAAAAAAGGUUUGGAUAUAGUACCGAUUAAGAACUUAUGCUGUUUUUAUAACAACGCUCUUACGUUGUCGACCAUGAAGCCGAGUUCUUACAAUUCGAGAUGGUUAUUCUUGCUAUUUUUCGGCGUACCUCAGACGUUAAAAUGUUGAUAUUUAGGACACUGAACAGGUGGGACAAGUGAUUU
rnacentral:lncRNA from 1 species